UGACUAUUUUACCCCUAUUUGGAA
rnacentral:snRNA from 1 species